AUUGAUUUUAUGCUUGCAUAAAUGAUUUUUGGAUUCGGAGCGAGUGGCGAACUGGUGAGUAACACGUGGGUAACCUGCCCCGAAGCGGGGGAUAACACUUGGAAACAAGUGCUAAUACCGCAUAAUUAGUUGGAACCGCAUGGUUCCAACUUGAAAGAUGGCUCUGCUAUCACUUUGGGAUGGACCCGCGCCGUAUUAGUUAGUUGGUGAGAUAAAAGCCCACCAAGACGAUGAUACGUAGCCGACCUGAGAGGGUAAUCGGCCACAUUGGGACUGAGACACGGCCCAGACCCCUACGGGAGGCAGCAGUAGGGAAUCUUCCACAAUGGACGAAAGUCUGAUGGAGCAACGCCGCGUGAGUGAUGAAGGUUUUCGGAUCGUAAAACUCUGUUGUUAAAGAAGAACAAGUGUUAGAGUAACUGUUAACACUUUGACGGUAUUUAACCAGAAAGCCACGGCUAACUACGUGCCAGCAGCCGCGGUAAUACGUAGGUGGCAAGCGUUGUCCGGAUUUAUUGGGCGUAAAGCGAGCGCAGGCGGUUUUGUAAGUCUGCUGUGAAAGCCCUCAGCUCAACUGAGGAAGUGCAGUGGAAACUACAAAACUUGAGUACAGAAGAGGAAAGUGGAACUCCAUGUGUAGCGGUGAAAUGCGUAGAUAUAUGGAAGAACACCAGUGGCGAAGGCGGCUUUCUGGUCUGUUACUGACGCUGAGGCUCGAAAGCAUGGGUAGCGAACAGGAUUAGAUACCCUAGUAGUCCAUGCCGUAAACGAUGAAUACUAGGUGUUGGAGGGUUUCCGCCCUUCAGUGCCGCAGCUAACGCAUUAAGUAUUCCGCCUGGGGAGUACGACCGCAAGGUUGAAACUCAAAGGAAUUGACGGGGGCCCGCACAAGUGGUGGAGCAUGUGGUUUAAUUCGAUGCUACGCGAAGAACCUUACCAGCUCUUGACAUCUUCUGCCAACCCAAGAGAUUGGGCGUUCCCUUCGGGGACAGAAUGACAGGUGGUGCAUGGUUGUCGUCAGCUCGUGUCGUGAGAUGUUGGGUUAAGUCCCGCAACGAGCGCAACCCUUAUUAUUAGUUGCCAGCAUUUAGUUGGGCACUCUAGUGAGACUGCCGGUGAUAAA
rnacentral:rRNA from 1 species